rnacentral:rRNA from 1 species
UGGAUUAGAUACCCCGGUAGUCCACGCCGUAAACGUUGGGCGCUAGGUGUGGGACCCUUUCCACGGGUUCCGUGCCGUAGCUAACGCAUUAAGCGCCCCGCCUGGGGAGUACGGCCGCAAGGCUAAAACUCAAAGGAAUUGACGGGGGCCCGCACAAGCGGCGGAGCAUGUGGCUUAAUUCGACGCAACGCGAAGAACCUUACCAAGGCUUGACAUGCUGGGAAAUCCCAUAGAGAUAUGGGGUCCGCAAGGGCCCAGCACAGGUGGUGCACGGUCGUCGACAACU